GAUGAAGAACGUAGCGAAAUGCGAUAAGUAAUGUGAAUUGCAGAAUUCAGUGAAUCAUCGAAUCUUUGAACGCACCUUGCACCCUUUGGCAUUCUGAAGGGUAUGCUCGUUUGAGUGUCAUUGUACUCUCACACUCCCGAUCUUUGCAUUGGGAGCAGUGGACUUGGGUUUGCUGCUUCACCGUCGCUUACCUCAAAUAGGUUAGUGCAACUCUUGGUUGGACAUAGUACGGCGUGAUAAGUGUCUUCGCCGGCGCCUCUGUAAGGAGGGUGGCCGAUCGGGAGCUCUGUGCUUCAAACCGUCUUCGGACAAUCUUUGACAACUUGACCUCAAAUCGAGUAGGACUACCCGCUGAACUUAAGCAUAUCAAUAAGCGGAGGA
rnacentral:misc_RNA from 1 species